rnacentral:tRNA from 1 species
GGGCGUGUAGCUCAACGGUAGAGCGCCGAGCUUAUACCUCGGUGGUUCUAGGUUCGAAUCCUAGCGCGCCCA